CACUAGGCUAGGAACAGUUAUGAAACAUGAUUGUGCAAGUGAUUUUUGCUCAUGCUUUCUCCUCUCUYUUUGAGGAGAUUACUCCCAGAAGUAAAACCUCCUUGCAGGAUCUGUGUUGUAAGGCACUUCUUACUGCAGCUGAAAAAAGGUGAAGACUUUAUCUGCAAGAGAAUAUUCAUUUAUGGCACAUCACUGAUGAUGUAGAUUUGAGAAAAGGAAAAUAAUCUUGAAACCUUCCUCAGAAGAGAGAUCUGCUCACAGUUUUCUCCAGUGUGAUUGCUUUGAGUCUGUAAGGUCAUCAUGGUUGAAGGGAUGAAGAUGAGGACAUUAAAGCCUUUGCCCACUUAUGACAAUUACUCUGGAGACAAACACAGCUCAGAAGACAAAUGUUAUGAGCUACCUGUAAGUUCUGGUUCACAAAACAGAUGAGGAGCUUGGAAAUACUUCUGAACUUGGAAAUGAAAUUUAUUCUCAAGAUUUUAAAGAGGCUGUACAACGAGACUGGAGAACACGAGCGCUGUAUUUUCACAGCAGAAAAGUUCUGUUCAGAGAUUUCCAACCAGAGAAACACGUAACAAUUUCUGCCUGAUUAGGGAGUGGUCUGAUCUUUUUCCCUUUCUCCUCUUCCCCUUCUCCUUCCUGCACAGCAGCUAAUGUUCUGGUCAGAAGUAAUAAUAUGUUGGAUCUUGAAUGUCAGUAGCCCCAGAGAUUCUGACAAGACUAUUCAUGUGCAUUCAUACGUCUUAACCAAAGCUGACACUAAAGAGAGCAAGAAUUCUCAUAUUCCUCUUUUUAUUGCCGUGCAUUAAACUCAAAUCUUCUCUUGGAGACCUCAGCUAGAAGUGACACAUUCASUGUUUGAAAAAAGGCAUUUUAGCAAGAUCCAAACAAAGCAGCUGGACAUCAAUCUGGCACAGGGCAGAGGCUCCUGUGAGAGCUYGCAGUGCAAAGCUAAACUCUGGUUUACACCUUACAAAUGUUGUGAGAGAAAUACUAAUGGGGGAAAAAAACAUUCCUCCUCAUCUUGGUAAAUUUGUAUUAAAAAUUAAACUGUUUUCUUAAAUUUCUUUAUCCCAAUCCUUCUAGGGAUACUUAUAUUCUGCUAACUUGAGGUGGUUUUCUGAGAAACACACACUGAGUGAAUAUUCUGCUCUACCUUUUACUCGGGACGUAUUUUACACUCUCUUGUAGUGUGGAGCACAGCACAUGUUUGGCUAAUUUUGCAGGGAUCUGAUUGAGUUGUUAAAGCCAGGUAGGCAAUUUUCCCAGCAAUGAUAUUUUUAAUCUUCCUUUUAAAAAUGGUUUGGUAGUAGUGACUAAGGCAGACUAGGUGGCUCUGGGCAUCUCGCCAUUUUUAGGUAGUUUAAUUUGUUAAAAAUUAUCUUUCUUCCCACCCAAAUCCCCUUGAAACCAUUUGGAGAAGAGAACUGUUGAACAGUUGCCAGUAAUAAGUCCUGCUGAGACCUCUGUAUCCUCCUGACAGAGCUGUUGGUGCCAACUGGAGACUGACUGGCACGAGUUUGAACUCUACACUACUUGAUAUAUUUACUUCACAUGCACCAAUUACAAUAAUUACCACCUCUGUAGCUGAAGUUUAAGCACUUCAUACCUCAGGUUGUUGGCAAUAUGUUCAAUCCUAUAAUCUCAAUUUUCCUGGAAUAAUUAAGUAGAAAAUAAAUACUUCAAAAAUUAGGAGACAGUCUGAAUGGAAAUCAGAGGCUGAAUAAUAGAGUUGUUUUUCAUGUUGCUAUUGUUAAGCUGCGUUUAUUUCUAUUUAAUCUUUAUUUCUAAAAGGCAGCAUCUUCUUUUGUCUACAGAGAUUCACCAGGAGAUGCUGUAGUCCAUUGACUUUUAUAUUCAACAGUGGAGUAUCUCUUAAUGUGAAUGAAAAACAACAUGAACUCCUUUUUUUCUUUAGAUGUUUUAAAAAUAYAAAUACUCCUUUCAAAAUCAAUGCUUUUGACG